ACUGUCUCGCAAGGGUUACAUCGGUUUGGAGGCUGAAUUGAGGGAGAAAAUAUUAAUUGCUGAAAAUGAGGAAGUCUUGGAUUACUUAAUAAAUAUCAAUUUUGUCAUUAAGUCAUUAAUAUUACUUACUGACGAGUAAUCUAAAAUAAAAAGGUGGUGUUGAAUGUGGAUAUUGUGUAAUGCGGUACAUGAAAGAGAUAGUCUUGAAUGAAUAUCCCCAAUUGGAGAUGAAGUUUGCAACAUCAAAAAACAAACAGUAUUACAAUCAAUCUCAGUAUGAUGAAGCCAGAAGUGAAUGGAGCGAAUUCGUCUACUUCUAUAUAGGUGCUUAAGUGUAGGCUGUGAUAUAAAUUUUGGAUUUAUUUAGAGAUUUAUGAAUACAAAACUUUUAGGUCAUGGUUAAACAUGUCUUUUAUGAAUACACUUUUGGAUUGUAUUUGAUACAUAUUUAUGAUAUAUUUAUUCAAUUUUGAUU